rnacentral:rRNA from 1 species
UGCGAACGCUGGCGGCAGGCCUAACACAUGCAAGUCGAACGAACUCUUCGGAGUUAGUGGCGGACGGGUGAGUAACACGUGGGAACGUGCCUUUAGGUUCGGAAUCACUCAGGGAAACUUGUGCUAAUACCGAAUGUGCCCUUUGGGGGAAAGAUUUAUCGCCUUUAGAGCGGCCCGCGUCUGAUUAGCUAGUUGGUGAGGUAACGGCUCACCAAGGCGACGAACAGUAGCGGGUCUGAGAGGAUGACCAGCCACACUGGGACUGAGACACGGCCCAGACUCCUACGGGGGGCAGCAGUGGGGAAACUUGCGCAAUGGGCGAAAGCCUGACGCAGCCAUGCCGCGUGAAUGAUGAAGGUCUUAGGAUUGUAAAAUUCUUUUAGCAGGGACGAUGAUGACGGUACCCGCAGAAUAAGCCCCGGCUAACUUCGUGCCAGCAGCCGCUGUAAUAC